rnacentral:tRNA from 1 species
GGUGCCAUAGCUCAGUUGGUAGAGCAAAGGACUGAAAAUCCUUGUGUCCCCGGUUCGAUUCCUGGUGGCACACU